rnacentral:tRNA from 1 species
GCCCGGGUGGCUCAGUCGGUUGAGCGUCCGACUUCGGCUCAGGUCAUGAUCUCACAGCUCGUGGGUUCAAGACCCGCGUCGGGCU